CUGCUUCUUCUUCGCCGUCUCUGUGCGGCCUCUUCCUCUUCCUCUUCUAAACAAUGACGGAGGAAGAGGUAGCUAUGGAAGUGGAAGCUCUAGAAGCAGUUUACAGCGAAGACUGCGUUAUACUGGAUU
rnacentral:sRNA from 1 species